GUCAUCAUCAAGCACCAACCAGUGAUUUAGGAAAACAAUUGGAGGCUUAAACCAGGGAAGAGGGCUGGAGCAGGGGAGUUAACCAAGGGCUGUAGAGAGUAUGCUCCAGAGGCCUAGGAGGCUGGGGCAGAGGGCAAGACAGGCAAGGUCUGUGGUCCAAUCCUAACACUGCUGAGCUCUGCUGUGAGAGGCAUGGGCAGCUUGAGGUCAGGGCCACUGGGCCUGAGCAGCUGAGGCCAAGUUCCUCCUUUCUUCCUGUGUGACCUUGAAGAAGUGACCUCACCUGGGUGUGCUUCAGCCUCCCUGACUGAACCACAAUAGUGCCCACUUCUCAGAGUCCUUUGAAACAGCAAUUCAAAUUCUGCUAACUAUUUAAAAUACCACCUACCAAGGCAAAAAUUAUUGUUCGGGGCAUUUGCUUGACUGUGACCACUAAACUGAACAGAACAUUUAAAACAAUCAAGAAAGGUCUUGGGAAGCCAGAAUAUCACAGCUAGACAUCCAGAACACUUCAGAACACGUGAUCGGACUGUAUGUGCUAAGAUUUCAGUCCUGGGCUGAGACUGUAGCUCAACGAUCCCUAAUGUAGCACUUCCCUAACCUGUACAAGGCCCCCUGCCCUCAACACACACAAACUUACUCCAGAUUCUCAGCUUUUCUGCUUAGAAGCUAUUUGCCCACAGGCCAAAUACUAGACUUCCUAUCCUGUACUCUUCCUACCUGUAAAAAGUAUUUUUUGUGGUCAUUUAAAGUAGAGGUCAAAUGUCUCAAAUCUAACACUCCUCUAAAACUCUUUAGCAUUAACAUGAUGUCAUGAGUGGAAAACUCCACCUCUGACUUAGUGGGCUGAAUUUAGUCAAAGCCAAGAGUGCCAAAAAUACUAUGUAAAACUGUUAACCUUUAGGCUAUGCAUAUAAGGUAUAUAUCAAACAUAAAUAAAAUUUAUGAUAAACUAAUCAUUUUGAGUAUGUAAAUAACAUCUGCCAUCUGUGAACAUUUGAAACUCCCAUUUGGGGGUAAGGAAUACUCAGACUGUGCUAUGAAUAUAACAAUGAGCAUAGCAUUGGGUCCAUAGGUUUGGACAAUAAGUAUUGGCUGGUAUUGGAUUUCAUGGUUGCACAUGUACAUUAGAGACAGCGUCAGAUGUUACUGCAUUUCUGUUAGGACCCUGCAGACUAUGUGACUCAGAGCAUCAUGCUUCUAGUGAUGGGAAGCUGUUGUUUACCACACAGACCACCUUGGCCCCUUAAAUUGCUAUUUACUUUAAUCUCUGUAUCUGGGCUAAUAUGCUUGUGACCAAGGGAGAAUUCUCGAAGGCAUAGCUAAGAUUAGUAGACCUCCAGCCUCUAGCAACCCUAGAACUAACAGUGUCUUAAGAUGACAACAGAAAUCAUUGAUUUCACCACUUUGCAGUGGCUUCAGUCCCUCAUUCUCCAUCAAUGUGUUGCGCGAAUGCAUUGAUUUCCAGCUUUCUUUGAUUCUGUGACCUCUUUGAUAGUACUAUAUUCAUUCAGAGUAAUGUGAGUCUGGCUCCUGAUUCUGUAGUGACUCACAUUUGGCUGAAAAUAAACCAUUUUCAUUUAUUGUUUUUCUUUUCUUUAUUUACUGGGUCUGUGCAUUGUGUGCACUCGUACCGCAGCACAUCUGUGAAGGUCAGCUUGUGGGAGUCAGUUCUCUCUCUCUGUGGGUUCUGGAGAUGGAUAAGAUUGUUAGGUUUGACAGUGAGAGCCUUUACUUGCUGAGCCACCUGAGCCUUCAAAAUGAACUAUUUUAUUAUUUCCUUUAAAACAGAGUCAUUAUUUUAUAUCAAUACAUGAACAGAAUAAAGUUCAGUGAGAUCAGAGGCUAAAGUCAACUAAAAGUUAAGCAAGCCUCGAGUUCCUGGGGCUGCUGAGUACUAGCAACCAGACUAAGAGUUAUUGCUAUAUCCAUGCAAAACUAGCCCAGAAAUAAAGAACAUCCUAGGCUAGUGUCAAUAAAAUACAGAAACAAGUCUCAAAAAGGACAAGUUCAUCCACAGGACACUAACCUUUAAAUCUACCAAGGCAAAUUCAACAUAAUU
rnacentral:lncRNA from 1 species